UGAAGACAACCCAUUUUGGGUACCAGAA
rnacentral:piRNA from 1 species